GCGCGCGCCUUCCGCGCGCUCAAGUUCAGAACAGCCCGUGCUCAGCAGAGCUGCGUCUAACAGGAGGACUGAUAGUUUCUCUGAAAAUGUCGUCUGACAGCAGUAACAACGCUUUUUUGAAGGGCUUCUGUACUUACAGGCAGAGCCGGCCCUCCCUAUAAGCGAACUAAGCGGCUGCUUAGGGCCUCGUCGCCACUAGGGGCCCCCAAGAUCACACGAAAUUACAGAUUUUUUUGUGAUAUAUUCACGACACACAUCCAUUUUCUCACGUAGGGCCGUGCCCACUAUUUUUUCUGAGGUGUGUGUCAAAAUUUGUGAAAUUACUGACUAAACGCAACAUUGCAAUAUCAAAAUAAGUGAGGUGGCCAAUCAAAUGAAAGGAGGCGGGAAUUACUGGUUACAAAGCCGAGCAGUGACCAAUCAAAUUAAAGAAGACUGAGCUACUGUCACGUCUUUAGCUGUUCAGCAAGACGCUUCAGUUUUCAAGUUAAAAGAGUGCUUUGCAACACACGACAGUGACUAAAACAUUAACUAUUUGACAACUGUUUAGUGUUUAACGAUAGAAAUGUUGAACAUCUGACAGUAUUCGUUGAUGCAAACAACAAAAUGCUGAUUUAGAUAAAAAAUAUGUAAUUUACGUGAUUCGUGUAAUUUAUAAUUAUCUGUUAAUUUAGCGUUUUAUUUGGGAUAAGGUUGAGAAUAAUUGUGUGCAUAUUGUAAAUUAAUUUAAUGGUUAUCAACCAUUAAUAAACUAAAUAAAAAAAUAAAAAGGGGAUUAAAUCAUCGUCAAGGGCUGUGUGGCUUUAAAGGGGUGUUUUAUAGGUUGUGGUUAAAAUAAAAUGAAGAUUAAAAUGAUUUUUAAAAUAGAAUCUUUGCAAAUAGUUAAAUGCAUUGAACAAUAAAUUCCACAAGUUUUGUAUGUUAUGUGCUCGAAAUUUAAAGGGACAGUUCACCUAAAAUUGAAAGUCAUGAAAUUAUCAAAUGUUUUGACAAUCACAAUACACCUUGCAUGGUUUAUGUGUUUUUGUUUUUAUGACAUUCCUACAUCCCAAACACAGCUACAACUAAUAGAAUUGGGUGUGCAAGGUUUAAAGUGUGCGUGCAAAUAAUCAAACAUUGACAAUACUCGAUUGUAUUGGGGUCACAGUGGGACCCCCAAAUAAAAUUCUGCUUAGGGCCCCGUAAAGGCUUGGGCCGGCCCUGCUGACAGGAAUUAAAGUUCAUCUGACAGGAAAUUUCGUUUUAUCAGGUAGGCUAUACACAGCACCGGUGGCAGUUAAGAGUAACCACGGCAACGGGACAUUACACGGCGCCUGAAGAGGACAUAUAACUCUGUAUAAAAAGACCAACAAUCACAUUAAGUAAAUAUCUUACAUUUGAAGUGGGGGUUUUUUGUAAUAUUUAUGCUUCUGUAAUUAUUUAUCUGUCGUGAAUCAUGCUGCUAUGUUUUAAAUAACGUAACUGUUAUAUAAAGUGAAGUAUCUGAACAAACACUUGUUUGAAUCCAGGGCUGCGUUCAGCCCCGACAAAACGUUUUUUAAACGGAAACGGUGGUGCGGUUGAACACCCUGUUGUGAUGACGCAAGAGUUGAACUAUGGCAGCUGAGAAGGCCAUUCUUUGUGUUCUUUCUGAAGAAUUUUCGGAGCCUGAUGAAAUCGGUAUAAA